ACUCAACUCACAGGAGGGACACUAAUAUAUAUCUGGCUCAGUGUUCAGGUGAUGUGACUCUCCUGCCUGGUUCUGCCCACAGGUAGAAGAGUCAGCAACUCUUGUGAGUUGGGUCCAAGUACAUGAGUCACAAUCUCAACAGUGGACUGCAUCCUCACGUGAGAGCCCCAAUUCCUUCUGCAAGCUGUGUCCUGGGCCGGGAUGACGGCGGAAGCAACGACGGCUGCAGAUGCCGCUGGCCCGGUGGGUAGGUGCUGGGGGGCCUAAGCUGGGCGGAGCUCACAGGGCCCAGCGCCUGGGGCCUGCAGGUGGCCCUGGAGGAAUCACCCACCCGUGUCUUCCGGGAGACAAGUGUGGACGACGCCGUGGACAAGCCCUUCCUAGCUGGAACAUUUGCGAGGCUGGAAUUUAAGCUCGGGCAGACAAGCGGCCAGAAUAAGGAAUGGA